UCUGCGAGAGCAGAAUGACCCGCGAACUUGUGAUGAUACCCAUAGGGAGGGAGGACCACCCGGCCGUCCCCCCCAAGCUUCCGCGGGUGCGGGAACACUCCCGUUCCCCGUGGGGGCGCAACAAACCCCCGGCGCAGACCGCGCCAAGGAAAUACAACGGGAUAGUGCGAGCGCUCUCGGAGCCCCGGACACGGUACGCUUCGAGGCGCCGUGCCUUCUUUCGAAUUUAAGUCUAUAACGACUCUCGGCAACGGAUAUCUCGGCUCUCGCAUCGAUGAAGAACGUAGCGAAAUGCGAUACUUGGUGUGAAUUGCAGAAUCCCGUGAACCAUCGAGUCUUUGAACGCAAGUUGCGCCCCAAGCCUCCGGGCCGAGGGCACGUCUGCCUGGGUGUCACGCAUUAUUGCCCCACCCCACCCCCUCCCCGGGGACAUGGCGGUGCGGGCAGACAAUGGCCUCCCGUGCGCUCCGCGGUUGGCCCAAAUUUGAGUCCCCGGCGACCGGUGCCGCGACGAUCGGUGGUGAGAACAACCCUCUCGAGCUCGCAUCGCGCACCCGUCUAUCCAAGUCGGGACUCAUCGACCCUGUAGCUCCGCGCUAGCGGCGCUUGCAUCGCGACCCCAGGUCAGGCGGGAUCACCCGCUGAGUUUAAGCAUAUC
rnacentral:rRNA from 1 species